GCCAUCUUGGAUUUCGGACUUAGCUGAGUUCACCCGCAUUGCCUCGCGUCUCCCCAGUGAGUCACCUGCGCUCGGUACUUUACCAACGUCUGAAUGUUGGUGUCGAUGUGAAAUUCCCUUAACUGUUUCUGAGGAAGUCAAUUUCCCAUCACUUAAAAAAACCCAAAACAAAACACUUGAAUAUGUCCACAAACUUUGUAGGAAUGGGAGCUAACCUUGUCUCGAUGCAAGAUAAGUUAGCCUCGUCACUAGUCAGCAGCCACGCACUCGGAGCGGGUUAAGCGUUUCUUCGGGCAUGUUGGUGGACGAUAUAUUUGCUCAUUGAACAUGAAGGAACUCGGCCGUCCAGGACAAGAACGUCGGGCAGCAGCUCCACGUUAGCUAACUGGAAUGGCGGGAGGACAGCUACCAUGAAGAUGGGCAAAUGAAAACUUGGGGAGUCUUACUUACUGAAGACCUGUUGAACUGCCAUUUCCGGAACAAACCUCAUCAAAUAAACGUUGGCGUCGGGGUACCGUGACGGAACCACUAUCUGUUAGUGGAGGAGUAUCAUGAUCCUGAACUGGAACUGGACGGUUGUCUAAUGGCCUGCUGGGUUCGCAUUGAAAAGGUCUUAGAAACUUCUCGAAAGGAAUGACAGCAGUAAAAUGGAACAAAUAACAGACAGUGUCUACACACAGUAUCUCUGGAGUAAACAACAUUUACAGAGCUGGAGCUGUGCACCCCAAUGCGCAUGUCCAUUUCCGGUUAGCGCGCAUCUACCGCUACCGCCAAACUCAUUCAAACGCAAGAGGUCAAAGUCGUGCACCAGGCCCCAGUGCUCUCACCGAAGGCUGACUCAAACGUUGAUUUCGUUUGGUUUAUUUCAUGCAGGUAGUGUAAGACCAUAAAUACUACAACCAACAAGCCAACACAGAAGAAAAGAGACAAGCCUACCUUAGGUGGUGUCUGUGACAAUGAAGUUGGUGGCAGUUGGAAAAGAGGUACCCUCAGUCACCAAGACUGUAGCAGACUGGACCAAAAUCCUUCC